rnacentral:rRNA from 1 species
UGGGGAAUAUUGCACAAUGGGCGCAAGCCUGAUGCAGCCAUGCCGCGUGUGUGGAGAAGGCCUUCGGGUUGUAAAGCACUUUCAGCGAGGAGGAAGGUGGUGAACUUAAUACGUUCAUCAAUUGACGUUACUCGCAGAAGAAGCACCGGCUAACUCCGUGCCAGCAGCCGCGGUAAUACGGAGGGUGCAAGCGUUAAUCGGAAUUACUGGGCGUAAAGCGCACGCAGGCGGUUUGUUAAGUCAGAUGUGAAAUCCCCGGGCUCAACCUGGGAACUGCAUUUGAAACUGGCAAGCUAGAGUCUCGUAGAGGGGGUAGAAUUCCAGGUGUAGCGGUGAAAUGCGUAGAGAUCUGGAGGAAUACCGGUGGCGAAGGCGGCCCCCUGGACGAAGACUGACGCUCAGG